rnacentral:rRNA from 1 species
CGAGGGGAGUGAAAAAGAACCUGAAACCGUGUACGUACAAGCAGUGGGAGCACGCUUAGGCGUGUGACUGCGUACCUUUUGUAUAAUGGGUCAGCGACUUAUAUUCUGUAGCAAGGUUAACCGAAUAGGGGAGCCGAAGGGAAACCGAGUCUUAACUGGGCGUUAAGUUGCAGGGUAUAGACCCGAAACCCGGUGAUCUAGCCAUGGGCAGGUUGAAGGUUGGGUAACACUAACUGGAGGACCGAACCGACUAAUGUUGAAAAAUUAGCGGAUGACUUGUGGCUGGGGGUGAAAGGCCAAUCAAACCGGGAGAUAGCUGGUUCUCCCCGAAAGCUAUUUAGGUAGCGCCUCGUGAAUUCAUCUCCGGGGGUAGAGCACUGUUUCGGCAAGGGGGUCAUCCCGACUUACCAACCCGAUGCAAACUGCGAAUACCGGAGAAUGUUAUCACGGGAGACACACGGCGGGUGCUAACGUCCGUCGUGAAGAGGGAAACAACCCAGACCGCCAGCUAAGGUCCCAAAGUCAUGGUUAAGUGGGAAACGAUGUGGGAAGGCCCAGACAGCCAGGAUGUUGGCUUAGAAGCAGCCAUCAUUUAAAGAAAGCGUAAUAGCUCACUGGUCGAGUCGGCCUGCGCGGAAGAUGUAACGGGGCUAAACCAUGCACCGAAGCUGCGGCAGCGACGCUUAUGCGUUGUUGGGUAGGGGAGCGUUCUGUAAGCCUGUGAAGGUGUGCUGUGAGGCAUGCUGGAGGUAUCAGAAGUGCGAAUGCUGACAUAAGUAACGAUAAAGCGGGUGAAAAGCCCGCUCGCCGGAAGACCAAGGGUUCCUGUCCAACGUUAAUCGGGGCAGGGUGAGUCGACCCCUAAGGCGAGGCCGAAAGGCGUAGUCGAUGGGAAACAGGUUAAUAUUCCUGUACUUGGUGUUACUGCGAAGGGGGGACGGAGAAGGCUAUGUUGGCCGGGCGACGGUUGUCCCGGUUUAAGCGUGUAGGCUGGUUUUCCAGGCAAAUCCGGAAAAUCAAGGCUGAGGCGUGAUGACGAGGCACUACGGUGCUGAAGCAACAAAUGCCCUGCUUCCAGGAAAAGCCUCUAAGCAUCAGGUAACAUCAAAUCGUACCCCAAACCGACACAGGUGGUCAGGUAGAGAAUACCAAGGCGCUUGAGAGAACUCGGGUGAAGGAACUAGGCAAAAUGGUGCCGUAACUUCGGGAGAAGGCACGCUGAUAUGUAGGUGAAGUCCCUCGCGGAUGGAGCUGAAAUCAGUCGAAGAUACCAGCUGGCUGCAACUGUUUAUUAAAAACACAGCACUGUGCAAACACGAAAGUGGACGUAUACGGUGUGACGCCUGCCCGGUGCCGGAAGGUUAAUUGAUGGGGUCAGCGCAAGCGAAGCUCUUGAUCGAAGCCCCGGUAAACGGCGGCCGUAACUAUAACGGUCCUAAGGUAGCGAAAUUCCUUGUCGGGUAAGUUCCGACCUGCACGAAUGGCGUAAUGAUGGCCAGGCUGUCUCCACCCGAGACUCAGUGAAAUUGAACUCGCUGUGAAGAUGCAGUGUACCCGCGGCAAGACGGAAAGACCCCGUGAACCUUUACUAUAGCUUGACACUGAACAUUGAGCCUUGAUGUGUAGGAUAGGUGGGAGGCUUAGAAGUGUGGACGCCAGUCUGCAUGGAGCCGACCUUGAAAUACCACCCUUUAAUGUUUGAUGUUCUAACG